CCGAGUACUACAACUCAUAACCCUUUGUGAACCUUCAUACCUGUUGCUUCGGCGGCGCGCCUCCCGGGGCGUGCCCGCCGGCAUUAUCAGAAUCUCUGUUCGAACCCGACGAUACUUCUGAGUGUUCUAAGCGAACUGUUA
rnacentral:misc_RNA from 1 species